rnacentral:lncRNA from 1 species
UUCUUUCUUUCUUUCUUUCUUUCUUUCUUUCUUUCUUUCUUUCUUUCUUUCUUUCUUUCUUUCUUUCUUUCUUUCUUUCUUUCUUUCUUUCUCUCUCUCUCUCUCUUUUUCUUUCUCUGUGUGUGUCUCUCUCUCCCUCUUUUAUGUCUCUCUUUUUCUGCCCCCACUGAAGAUGCAGAAUCUAAAGGAUGUGGGUUCUAGAUUCAGCUCAGGCACUAACUCCCUUGAGGUCUUGGACCAAACACAAGCUCCCCCUCUCUGAGUCUCCAUUUCCUAAC